rnacentral:lncRNA from 1 species
AAUUCAUCAAAACAAGUUGAUCUACAAGAAUCCACAAGUGGGUCCACAAGGAACCCAAUCUAGAACUAUCAUGAAGCAUUGCGUAGCUGCAAAGCGUCCAGCAGUACAUAAUAAUGAUUGCAUGAUCACUUCAUUCUUGGAGAAGUCCUCCAUUUAAAGAGAUACUGACGAAGGGUAGUCCAACCUAAGGUAAAAGCAAUGGACAAAGCAUCAAACCCGUCCCACAGAGAAAAACAUUAGGGGAAAAGUGCGAGAAACUGCAGAGAUGAAUUAUUUUGCUGUCCAUCGAGAACAACCCUACCUCUGUCUGAGAUUCUGCACCAUGUAGUCUUCAACAAGGGAAACUUACCCUGACCAAGAAUUUUGUAAGUCCUAACUGCGUGUUACUUGGAAGCCUCAUUGUCUGAAAGGAAAGUGUUAUCAGUUGUGUAACAAUGUCCAACUGGUCCAUACUCUCCGGCUCAUCUUUUGCCUUUUCUUUAUCUUAUUCUUUUUUUUCCUUACUUUUUACUUGUUUCUUCCUUUUCAACCUGAAGUUUAUCUUUGCUAACCAAGACCUCAUCAGUGGACAUGCCUAAUAUUUUAGGAUGACUACAAGUUUUGAAAUACAUAUAAAAAGCAUCUUGUGCCUUAAUAUCUAUCUUUUCGUGGUCCAACUUCCGGUGCUCGUGUAAUAAAUAAAAUUGUAUGCAGUCAAUACCAUCUGUUAAGGAGAGUUACAACCACAUAUGAAUGAUCUCCUUCAGAAACCUAAGAUUAAAUCGGUUGGAUGACAAAGCAUAGCAGAAGGAAUUAACAUGCCAAGUCUUGGAAAGCACUCCAAACUCCCAAUCCAAAUGCUGCCUAUUAAAGGAAGGCAAUAACUGCUAGUACCAGUAGCCUCUAUGGUUACCAGGUUACCAGCAAGUUGAACAAAAAAUAGGAAAAAGGACACAGAGUGAUGAACAAACUGAACAGAAGAUUGACAUGGAUGUCCAAAGGAAAGGGCACU